rnacentral:sRNA from 1 species
UGGACUAUUAUUGCUAGCAGGUAGCAG